AGCCAAAGCAGAUUCAUUGUGCACUUGCACUCUUCUACACUUCGUUCUCUCUUACUCUCAUAUUCAAAUUUCAAAAAUCAUCUUAGCUCUCCCUCUCAAUUUCUUUACAUGCUCAACCAGCAACAACCGCAUCAGCAACAGUUCCCUGGAGAAGUGUUUUGUUUUGAAAUCAUUCGUACCAGCACACAAAGAGAGAGAAAGGGAGAGAGAGAAUGGGGGAGAAUAGUGAUGGUGGUACAUCUAGGGUUACCCCGACACUGGUGGUGACCAGAUCUGGCGAUGUCUUUGGCAGCAUCAAUGGUGGAAGAAAUUUUAGGGUUUACAUAUUCAUCUGAUGGUGCUACUCAUGAUAUAGGUUAAUGAAUUCUGCCGUUAUUUUUCUAAACUUCGUUCACUUAGAGACAUUCACGCUUCAGGAACAAAGAUGAACAUAUGGAUGUUUAAUCUUGAAAAUUGAAACUAGGGUUUCAUUUUAACCCUACAAUAAUUCAACUUUCAUUGCAGAUUCCUUUUCAUGUUUUUUGGUGGUGUAAUGAUGGUAUGUUGAGCAAGAUGCCUUGGAAAAAAAAAGAGAAAAGCAGAGGAAAAGAGUUGAUUUGCAGAGAGUUGCCGAGAAAAGUAGGGAAGAAUACAAAUUCACCGAAGUUUGUUUCCGGAGAAAGAAGAACAGAGGAUCCCAGUUGCUUUGAUACCAUAACAACGGUGAAGCAUCAGACUCUCUACGGAAGGGUUGUUGUUGGCAGAGAAAUAAUGGUUGCCAAAUAGGGACCUGGUGCUAAAAGAAUUUGAGUUCUCUGGCAAAAGUUUGAUCACAAUCAUGAACUUUUCUUUGAUAUGUUUUUUGGUCAUACUAGCAAUUACUUGGGAAGAAUCCUGGAGCCAGUAGAAAAGUUGAAGGGGAGAUCAAGGAACUGGAGUCUAAAGGGCUCAUCAACCAUCAUCUCAUGUAAUUUAUUUGGAAACUGCUGGAGCAAAUUGUUAUAAACUCAAAUAAAGAUAGGCUGGAGCAAAUUGUUAUAAACUCAAAUAAAGACAGGUGGGUUUGGAAUAACCCUUUGGGUGAUGAGUUGUCCGUGGAUUUUGUUCAAAAUUUGAUAGCGACCGCGAAUAACAAAGAUAAUGGUGGCAGUUGGUCUUUGUGGAACAGUUGGGCUCCCCAAAAAUAAACUUCUUCGUGUGGCACGCGUCAUUAAAAUAAGAUUCCGGUAAAAAGGAGCUAGCCGCAAGGGGUGUACGGAUUCAUAAUGGUUGGCUUAAGUGAUUCACAUGGUGGCUUCAUGUAUGGUUGCGGUGGCAAGUUUUAGUGUGGCUUAAAAUCCCCAUUCCCCAUGGUGAGUUUUCAUGCAACACAGACUGGGGUCUUUUGCAGAAUCUGAACGGCUCAAGAGAUUGGAAGAAAGUGGUCAAUGUAGUCUUCAUGGAAACAUUGUGGCAAAUCUGGAAAGCGAGAAACGCCAAAGAAUUCAAAGGUUGCAACAUUCCGGUUGCAAAGGUUGUAGAGGAGAUUACGAUGAACUCGUUUCUUUGGUUAAUUGGGAUAGGUGGCUAGAUGCCAACCUUCGUGAUGUAAUAACUUAAUGUAGGUUUGCUUGUUUUCUCAAGUUUUCAGUUUCUUUCUGGUUGGCCCGGUUUUCAAUAUGAUAUA